UGCCAGCCGCCGCGGUAAUACGGAGAGGGCAAGCGUUAUUCGGAAUUAUUGGGCGUAAAGGGCGCGUAGGCGGCCAUGCAAGUCAGGGGUGAAAUCCCUCGGCUCAACCGAGGAACUGCCUCUGAAACUGCAUGGCUUGAGACCGGGAGAGGGUGGUGGAAUUCCUAGUGUAGCGGUGAAAUGCGUAGAUAUGCGGAGGAACACCAGUGGCGAAGGCGACCUUCUGGUCCUCAACUGACGCUGAGACGCGAAAGCAUGGGUAGCGAACGGGAUUAGAUG
rnacentral:rRNA from 1 species